AUGGAUGAAUCAAUUGAUGUGAGUGAUGCUCUUGCACAUGCGUCACACCCAGACAACAACAUAAGGUCAAUAGGAGAAGACAUGCUAAAGCGGCUCCAAAAUCUUGAUCUUCCCAACUUCCUCCUAUAUUUAUCAUCUGAGCUUUUGAGGGAGGGGAUUCCAGAAGAGUCUAGGGCACUUGCUGCCAUCACCCUUAAGAACUCCUUGGACUCAAAGGAUCCUGCACUCAAGGAUGCACACAAGGAUCUACUUUGUAUAAAAUGGCUCAGCCUGGAUCCCUCUAUCCGAUCAGAGAUUAAGCAUAAGUUGCUCAUGACACUAGAAUUUGAUUCAAGGCAAUCUCAUUCAAGGCACCCCUCAUCAAAAGUUAUUGCAAAAGUUAUUGCGAGGGUUGCAUGCAUGGAGAUACCCCGGAAUCAAUGGCUGGACCUUGUUGGUAAAUUAGUGGACAACAUGGCAAGUUCAUCUUCUUCACUAAAGCAAGCAACUCUAGAGGUGCUCCAGUAUAUCUUUGAGGCGAAGAUCCCUAAAGUUGUCAAGGGGGAUCAAGUGGAUGUUGUUAUGGGUAGUGUCAUCAGUGCACUGAAUAACCAGAUGCUAGAUUCUCAAGUCCAUCUCACAGCCCUUAAAGCUUUACUCAACAUUCUUGAGUUUACUAAGUUUGAAGACCAUGCUUGGAGGAAUUCUAUAGUGGCAGUUUGUGAAGUGGCAGGCAGGAUAAAUUCUGGAGCAGAGAUCAAAGAGGCAGCAUUUGAGUGCCUUGUUGCAAUUGCACGCACUUGUCAUACCAUAUUAGAACCUUACAAGGAGAUCAUGAUGAGUCUUACAUCCCAAGCUUUGGAAGGAGAUGUGGAAUCACUUAAAUUCCAAUGUAUUAAGUUGUGGAUCACUGUUUUCCAAGAAGAGAUUGAUUGGGAAGAGGAAGGGGAAGAGGAGGAGGAAGAAGAAGAAGAAAAAGAAAAAGAAGAUGAUGAUGAAGAAGAGGCAUCUAGCUUUAUUGGUCCUCUCUGUUCAUUUGUUCCACUUCUCCUACAAACUUACUUAAAGGAAGAACAGGGACAUUUAAAACAGGAGGACAUUUGGAAACAGGGAGACGAGGGAGAUGGAGACAUUUCCAUGACGGGGGAACAAGAAGAAGAGGGAGAUGAAAAUGUGGAACAAGAGGGAGUAAACCUUGAAGACAUUUUGGAACAAGACGAAGAGGAAGAUGAGACUCUACAAGGCAUUUCCAUGACAUGCCUAGGCCUUGCAGCUAGAAUUAUGAAGGGUGGAGUUGUCCCCCUUGUGAUGCAUUUUGUCCAGGAGAACUUGAAUGGGCCACAUAAAAUAGCAGCAUUGUCUCCAUUAGGUUUUAUCCUGGAAGGUCCCUCGGUCAAGCAACUUGCUCCUCUAGUUCAUUUAUUGCUUGUCUUGAUGGACCAUCCGGAGGAAGGUGUAAGAGGCAGGGCUGCCUGGACACUUGGGCGGCUGUUUAAGCUUGUUGGUGCACAUAGAAUCGUGAGAAAUGAGGUGGUGGUCCUGGAUCGGAUCAUGAAGCUCUUGAUAGAAAGGAGCAAAGAUGUCCCUGAAGUGUCCGUUGAAGUGCAUGGAGCUCUAUAUUUUCUUGCAAGAGGUUAUGGAGAAGAUGCAAAGUCAAGGUCAAAAUCAAACUCAUGUGAGCUUUCACCUUUUGUUAAGCCUCUUAUUGAUGCUCUUCUUUGUGCUUCGGAUCUGGCUAGGGAGACCCCUUUUUGCCUUCUUCCAUCUCCUUACAAAGCUUUGAGUGAGAUUGUGAGAGUUAGUGACACUGGGGACUUACAAGUUCGCCAGGCUGUUAUAGGCUUGAUGUCUCAUAUUAUGAGGAGAUUCAACAUUGUGCUUAAUGGUCAUGGUGCAGUUUCAUCUGUUCAGAGGAAGAACCAACUUGAGGUCUUGCUGUGUGGUCUAGUUGAAGUCUUGAUCCACAAGCUUGGAAGUACACUCAAGGGGUCUGCUAAAUGUGUGUUGAUGUUGUUGUGCCCUCUCUUAACCCGUGAGAGUACAAGUGCACGAAAUGGAGCAGCCCUUGCCAUUGGUGCUCUUGCUCAUGCCAUUGGUGCUGAUUUUGGACAACACAUGCCUACGGUGCUACAAUAUUUCAGUGUGAAGCGACUCUCUCCACUUUAUUUAGAAGUGAUAUGUGAUAUAUGCCAUGUCUUGGGAAAAGAGGGAAAAGAGGAAGAAGUGGUGCCAUGCUUUGAUCAUAUUAUGGAAGUUUUGUAUCAAGGUAUGGGAGAAUUGACACUUCAACCUCCAAUUUUAUCAAGCAUUGGACAGAUUGCUCUUGCUAUUGGUGAAAAAUUUGAGAAGUACCUGCCUCCAGUUAUGGAAAAGCUUAUAGUUAUGGAAGAGGUUGCUCAACUCGAUCAGGAUCCUCUUGGGGAUCAUAGUAACAAGGUUAGAGAGGCGAUAUCUAAGGCCUACCAUGGCAUAUUAGGGGGUAUAACCGACCCAAAGUCUGGAUUCAAGGUAGGAAUGGCUCUACUUGACUUCACUGAAAAGGAGAGAAAGAGAAGGGACAGUGACAGAAGGUCCAGAAGGACUAGGACCAUGACAGCAAGGGACACAAGGACCAUGAAAGCGCUAGUUGAUGCCUUGUCUCAGCUUUCUCCUAGAGUGGGGGUUUGGUCAGAGGCGUUGAUUCGAUCGAUGCAGGAAGAAAAUACUCCCUCCUUAAACAAAUAUAAGAGCGUUUAG
rnacentral:rRNA from 1 species